rnacentral:rRNA from 1 species
UACGUAGGGUGCGAGCGUUGUCCGGAAUUAUUGGGCGUAAAGAGCUCGUAGGCGGUCUGUCGCGUCGAUCGUGAAAACUUGGGGCUUAACCCUGAGCUUGCGGUCGAUACGGGCAUGACUGGAGUUCGGCAGGGGAGACUGGAAUUCCUGGUGUAGCGGUGAAAUGCGCAGAUAUCAGGAGGAACACCCGUGGCGAAGGCGGCUCUCUGGGACGGUACUGACGCUGAGGUGCGAAAGCCAGGGGAGCGAACGGG